rnacentral:rRNA from 1 species
UACGUAGGGGGCAAGCGUUAUCCGGAUUUACUGGGUGUAAAGGGAGCGCAGACGGAACUGCAAGUCUGAUGUGAAAGCCCGGGGCUCAACCGCGGGACUGCAUUGGAAACUGUAGAUCUGGAGUGCCGGAGGGGCAAGCGGAAUUCCUGGUGUAGCGGUGAAAUGCGUAGAUAUCAGGAGGAACACCGGCGGCGAAGGCGGCUUGCUGGACGGCAACUGACGUUGAGGCUCGAAAGCGUGGGGAGCAAACAGGAUUAGAUACCCGGGUAGU